CAGUCGCCGCGGGAAUACGGAGGGUGCAAGCGUUAUCCGGAUUCACUGGGUUUAAAGGGUGCGUAGGCGGAUCUGUAAGUCAGUGGUGAAAUCUCCAGGCUUAACCUGGAAACUGCCGUUGAUACUAUAGGUCUUGAAUUUUGUGGAGGUUAGCGGAAUAUGUCAUGUAGCGGUGAAAUGCAUAGAUAUGACAUAGAACACCAAUUGCGAAGGCAGCUGGCUACACAACUAUUGACGCUGAGGCACGAAAGCGUGGGGAUCGAACAGGAUUAGAUACCCCAGUAGUCCCUGUCUCUUAUAA
rnacentral:rRNA from 1 species